GAAAUGCGAUACGUAAUGUGAAUUGCAGAUUUCAGUGAAUCAUCGAAUCUUUGAACGCACAUUGCGCCCGCCAGUAUUCUGGCGGGCAUGCCUGUUCGAGCGUCAUUUCAACCAUCAAGCCCCCGGCUUGUGUUGGAGCCCUGCGGCUGCCGCAGGCUCCCAAAUCCAGUGGCGGGCUCGUCGUCGUACCGAGUGCAGUAAACAUCCUCGCUCAGGGCACGUGACGGGUUCCGGCCGUGAAACCCCCACUAUAUCAAGGUUGACCUCGGAUCAGGUAGGAAUACCCGCUGAACUUAA
rnacentral:misc_RNA from 1 species